rnacentral:rRNA from 1 species
GACGAACGCUGGCGGCGUGCUUAACACAUGCAAGUCGAACGAUGAAGCGCUGUCUUUUUGGUGGUGUGGAUUAGUGGCGAACGGGUGAGUAAUACGCGGGCAACCUGCCCCUUUGCUUCGGGAUAAGCUUUGGAGACGGGGUCUAAUACCGGAUGUGCCUGUCUGGUCGCAUGGCUGGGCGGGGAAAGAUGUUUUUCGGCGGGGGAUGGCCUCGCGGCCUAUCAACUUGGGGGUGGUGCGACUUACUAAUAUUGCUGCCUCGUGUUUCCCCUCUGCUACU